UUUAAAAUUGUUGAAAGCCAAGCCAGUAGAAUUCCAGUAGGAUGAUGGUGUCCAAGUAUGUUUACCUGGAUAGGCAAGCAUUUCACAGAAUCAUAGAAUGGUAGAGUUGGUUGUUCAACAUUUUUCUUUCUGCAGACAUGAAGUCAUCUUGUGCCGUGCUCUUCUUGAAUAAAAAUGUUCACCACCAGAAUAGAACUGGGUUUAGUUUACAGGUAAUUUCCAAGCAAUAAUCAUCAUUGACAGAAGAGGCCUACCAAAAUUGAUCCAAAUACAAACUCUGAAGCUUCAAGUUUUGACUCUGCGUUUAAACUGACAGCCAGCUGGUCAACUGUAACCAGGUGAACUUUGUGAACUUCCCACCAGAAGUUGUACACCAGGCAUUUUUUCCUCCCAUGUGCCUCCCCUUCUCCCUGCCCCAGACUGUACACAAGAGUUUGAAAGCCUUGAAUCUCUUUAACAGCCAUAUGGGCUGCAUGGGGACAGGAUGGCAAAUCCUAAAUCACAAAGUUCAGCGAAGAACAUAAUCUAAAUCUGCAUUUUGUUUUCCUCAAAUACAAACCAGGGGAAAACAAUAAAAAGGGCAUGGUGGCAGGAGUCAGAAGGGUGGGAGAAGGGAAUUUCCUCCACAUUCUAAAUGUUAAAAAUGCUGUGUAGCUUUGCAUUUACAGAAUAAUGUAUAAACUGGUCCAUUAUUACUUUCGAACAGAGAGGCAGUGAGAGAUUCCAAGAUGAUUCCAGGCAGUAUAUAUUAAAGUGCCCAGGGGUACAGACUUUCCUCAGGGAUAUUCCAGGCUGUUUUCUGAAUGUUGAGCUUUUACUAAAGGAAAUAUGAAGAAAGUAUUGGCAAUAUUCUCUCCCCCAAUUGCUCAUUAAUGAAUAAAAUGUUUCCACCUUCCCAUGUUCUAGCCGUUGAGCUCAAUGACCCUGGGAUAACUGACAAACAUGGCUACCUCAUUUCUUUUUGUAAAAAACACCCCACUUUAAUUGUAUUUUAUUUUACUUGUAUUUAUUAAGAUGCUAGGCUACCUAUAUAUUCUGCUCUGCAGUGUUUCUCUGAUCUCCUAAAGCAGGCUUCCUCAACCUUGGCCCUCCAGAUGUUUUUGGCCUACAACUCCCAUGAUCCCUAGCUAGCAGGACCAGUGGUCAGCGAUGAUGGGAAUUGCAGUCUCAAAACAUCUGGAGGGCCAAGGUUGUGGAAGCCUGUCCUAAAGUCUCACAAUAAAAUGUCUGGC
rnacentral:lncRNA from 1 species